GACGAACCGAGCGAACGUUGUUCGGAAUCACUGGGCUUAAAGGGCGCGUAGGCGGGCUGUCGCGUCCGGGGUGAAAUCCCACGGCUCAACCGUGGAACGGCCUCGGAUACGGGCGGCCUCGAGGGGGGUAGGGGCAUGCGGAACUGUGAGUGGAGCGGUGAAAUGCGUUGAUAUUCACAGGAACUCCGGUGGCGAAGGCGGCGUGCUGGACCCCAUCUGACGCUGAGGCGCGAAAGCCAGGGGAGCGAACGGG
rnacentral:rRNA from 1 species